AAACAACUAGCGAAAUAAGCAUGGCGAUGUUUACGAAGACAGCUCUCGUGGCUCUCCUCUUUCUCCUGUCUUCAUAUAUGUUGUGCAAUGGUAGAGAAGUGGAAGCAAUGGGGUGUGGAUCAAAGGGGGAAACAGGGAGUUGUGAAGAGGCAACGGACAAGAGAACGGAGUGGAUCCAUAACUGCAAGAACCGUUUCGAUUGUUUGGCUUUUUGCAUAGAGCAGAAGAUGCGUGUGUUGGGCUGCGUCGAUGGCGAAUGCAAGUGCGGUCCGUAUGGGACAUGAAUAGAGAGGAUAUUUGUCACAUGAUAAAAAAUGAUAUAAUCUCACAAGGCCAAUUGAUGUAUGAGAAUUUUGUUUAAAUAAGUUUAUUAUAAUGCAUCCUGAAUUUAUUUUA